CUUCCGGACAAUAUACCAUUGACUACAUGGAUACUUGAAAAAUCCAGGCUCAUUAAAAUUAGGAGGCACCAUUAAGGUCAAAGGAGCACAGGAAUGAGUGGAAAUUAAGCACAGAACUCCUAGCUGUCGUGGAUGCAUCUGAGAAUGGACAACUAUCGAUCUGUUUCCCUUGCUAAUUUCCUUGGAUAUGUAAAUUCUACUAUAUGCACAAUCACAGAGAUUGUUUAUUAAAAGGAAAUCUUGUCUCUUCUGAUUUCAACUUUUGGGCUUGCAACACUUGCCAGCAGUGCUAAGUGACUUGAUAUACAUGAAUCAUAACUUUGUGACCUAAGAAUAUGCUCUCUGCAAGUAUAAUGAUGUCUUAGAAGUGAUACUUUAUAAUGCUAUUAAAUGUCUGCAUUCACAGAAUAGCUAUCUAAAAUUAAGGAACUUUAUUUCAAAUUUUCUUACAUCUAAGUUAAAAUAUUCCGCAUGUCU